AUCAACUCUCAGCCUUUUAGCUAAGAUCGAGUGUAGUAUCUGUUCUUACCAGUUUAAUAUCUGAUACGUAAUCUAUCCAAAGACAAUAUAGUAAGUGGAGUUUUGGAACUAUAAAAUAGGAGUUUGCUCCAUCCACUCCACUCAUCUGCCUGGGCUGACAGUGGCUCAACAG
rnacentral:snRNA from 1 species